rfam:Streptomyces ghanaensis ATCC 14672 supercont1.1 genomic scaffold, whole genome shotgun sequence.
GGGGAAGCCGGUGCAAUUCCGGCGCUGACCCGCAACCGUGAGCCGUCCACCGGGACGGCGAGCCGGAAUGCCC